GUUGUAGUGUGGACACCAACAUAAUUUUUUGACCACUGAUCAUCGCGUGUUUACAAGUUAUCAUAUCGUAGUCGUUCUGUAGUGUGACCUGGGCUGUAAGUGUUACUAAUAAUUUCCUAUUCCAUGUUUGAAAUUAGCGGAUUUUUGCAGGCUAUAGAGUCCCGUUAAUCGCUUUUAUUUAAUAACAUCUCUAAUCUAUUACACAAGGUUAUUGAAUAAAUUACUAAAUUACUACAAUAUCUAAAACGUUUACAAAAAUUUCACAACCGAACAACAACAUUUUUUUAUUACAAUUAUUAGAACUCCAUAUUACAUAGACAUAUAGUCAUUUCACACUUAAUUAGAAUUAACAGAAAAUAAAGUCGCUGGAGUCUGGACACCUAAAAUAACUAUGAAAGCUAAUCUAGUUAGGUUCCCAUUAAAUAUUACAAUAAUUAUAUCGCACAUUUUUAAUAAUCUUAGAUCGUAGAAUAAAGAACUAUAUGAGCAUUGAAUAGACCUUUCCCCUUUUAAGUGAAAUUUUGAUCUAGACAAGUCUGGACAAAAAUUUCACCACAGCUUGAAAGAGCAUUACAAAAUUAGUAAUAUUCCGAAGUUUCGUUGCGAAUUG